UGGGGAAUAUUGCACAAUGGAGGGAACUCUGAUGCAGCGACGCCGCGUGAGUGAUGAAGGAAUUCGUUUCGUAAAACUCUGUUCUAUGGGAAGAAAAGGACUGUACCAUAGGAGAAAGCUCCGGCUAAAUACGUGCCAGCAGCCGCGGUAAUACGUAUGGAGCGAGCGUUGUCCGGAAUUAUUGGGCGUAAAGGGUGCGCAGGCGGCUUUACAAGUUGGAUGCGAAAUAUUGUGGCUCAACCACAAACGUGCAUCCAAAACUGCAAAGCUUGAGUUAAGGAGAGGUAAGUGGAAUUCCUGGUGUAGCGGUGGAAUGCGUAGAUAUCAGGAGGAAUACCGGUGGCGAAGGCGACUUACUGGACUUAAACUGACGCUCAGGCACGAAAGCGUGGGGAGCAAACAGG
rnacentral:rRNA from 1 species